rnacentral:rRNA from 1 species
CCUACGGGUGGCUGCAGUAGGGAAUAUUGCUCAAUGGGGGAAACCCUGAAGCAGCAACGCCGCGUGGAGGAAGAAGGUUUUCGGAUUGUAAACUCCUUUUGUUAGAGAAGAUAAUGACGGUAUCCAACUAAUAAGCACCGGCUAACUCCGUGCCAGCAGCCGCGGUAAUACGGAGGGUGCAAGCGUUACUCGGAAUCAUUGGGCGUAAAGGGCGCGUAGGCGGGAUAACAAGUCAGAUGUGAAAUCCUAUGGCUUAACCAUGGAACUGCAUUUGAAACUGUUAUUCUAGAGUAUCGGAGAGGUAGGUGGAAUUCUUGGUGUAGGGGUGAAAUCCGUAGAGAUUAGGAGGAAUACUCAUGGCGAAGGCGACCUGCUAGAAGAUAACUGACGGUGAUGCGCGAAAGCGUGGGGAGCAAACAGGAUUAGAUACCCUAGUAGUC